CCUUCUCCUGUCUGCCACCACGUGAGAUGUGCCUUUCACCUUCCACUAUGAUUGUGAGGCCUCACCAGCCAUGUGGAACUGGUUCAAGAUUUCAACAUUUUAAGAUAAUCUGAAAAAAAUUGGAAUGUGCCCCCAGCUGCGAGUCAUUAAAUCUCAAGGAUAUCUAUUUGGUCAUGUUUUCUUGUGGUAUUUCAAGGCUACUGGUGACUUCUUCAACAGUUGAGAAACUGAACUAUGUGUUCAUGAAAAUACUCCAUCAUUAAAGUUUAUGGAAUACUCUCUCAACACUGUUUAUCAAAGGAACCAAUAUGGAAGGAAAAACAUUGCUUUGAAGGGAAGAUGGAUGGAUCCCCUAGUAAACUACAGCUUGAGGUGCAAUUUCCUAAAGUUCAAAUGCCUGAAAAAGGAAACGAAAGAAAGAAACUCAACUCUUGAGACAGCUUCAAUGCUAGCUUUGAUCUCAAUUAUAGAGUUAUUUAUGAAAAGUGCAUUUUUACAACUAAAAAUAAAUUAGGAUCAAAAGCUUCUAGAGGCUAUACUAUGGAGUGCUUAAUAAAAAGUUGAGUAAAGAGUUCUUGUCCAUCAUUCUUAACAAUUUGACAGCGUGUCCAGAACAUUGCGCCUAAAUGAAUCUAACAAGAGGUAAGUUGAACAUAAUAUUGGUAUUUGAAAGUCUUCAAUAGAAUUAGGCCCUUAAUUUAGCUUUUUCUAAGACUUUAAACAUUCAAAUGUUUCUUCUGCUUAUACUUAAAUAGUCUUUAAGGCAACUUAUUUGUUCCCUGAACAAACUUCAGUUGCUUAAAAAAAAAAAAA
rnacentral:lncRNA from 1 species